ensembl:snoRNA SNORD24 Small nucleolar RNA SNORD24
UGCAGAUGAUGUAAAAGAAUAUUUGCUAUCUUAAUACCAUUGAUGACAAUUUUCCCACCAAGAUCGCUGAUGCA